AUUUUUAAUAUAUUCAAAACAGCAGAUAUUUUUAUUCUGAGUAUAAAGGAGUGCUAUGAAUGUAGCAUUUUAAAAUUCUCAUCUAAGUUGCACUAGUAUUUUCACUUCACUAAACUGAAAAUAAUCAAUUAUCAGUAGAAGCCUCCUUAUAUUAGUCUGCCAAGUGUUAGCGAACCAGGUUCGUUUUUGCCCACUUCCCAGAAAGCCAAACACCGAGAUGAUGAGAUGGCAGCAGAGAGAGGGUUUACUCACAAGGCAGCCACGUGAGGAAGCAAGAGCAUGAGCCUCAAAUUCACUUCCCCGAAAACAGGGACUCAGGGAUAUUUAUGGGAUGGGGGCAAGAUGGUCUGAAAUGUGGAGAGAGGUGAUUGGAGGUGCGGUAAUUGAUGAUCUGUGCAAGCGCAGUCAGACUCCACGCCUCUUCACAGGACCCAUGUUCACAAAAUGGCGGAGUUAGCAUUCUCCAAAGGGUAGAGUUUUUAGCCUCCUGACGUCAAAAGUUCGCCUAUCGGACAUCUGCGCGGGCCAGUUGAUGAGUUGGUGGUCUCAACCGGCCUGAAGUAGACAACGGGUUCUAAUUCCUGAAAAACAGCUCACACACCCAUUACCAUAGUGACCCAGGCUCCAGGGAGAUGUUAUCUAUAGCAGCCUAGAGGGAGUCAGAGAGCAUAUUGCCUAAGCAGCACAGUUAACAAUUUGUGGGUUAAACAGCUAAAAGCUAUAAUCAGUCAUUGCAAAAAGGACAGAAAUUUUAGUUCCUAGCUACUUAAUCAUCAAUGGCUAUUUGCUGGUUUCACAAAGUUUAAUGAAAAAAGAAAUAUUGCUGAUGUGGUUGCAGUCCAAGUCUAUGAAAAUACCUCAAUCUUUAGAUAUGAAUUUAGGAUGCAGUGACAGUGAUACAGAACAUCUUAAUCUCAAAUUCACAUGCCUGAUGCCCAGCAAGACAAACACUGAGACAUCAGUGUUUGGAGAUGGAGACAGAUUUAUUCAAAUUGGCCCAAACGAGUAGGUGGGAACCUGGGUUCACUCAAAUCCGCCUCCCCAAGAACAGAAAGCAGGGCGGGUUAUGGAGUUAAGGGGCUUGGCAGGACGAGUUUCGUAGAAACACAAGGGUCACUUCAGAUAUGUCCCUGGGCAAUCUGACUUCUGGGCUUCAGCUGGCUGCUGAAGGUGGGCCAUCUGUGAUCACACUCUCCCAAAGGCCUUCCCUUUCUUCUACAAAGCAGGCUCACAAAUCCUCUAUAACCUUGAGUCACCCCUCAAGUUAAACAGAAAAAACAGCAAGUUGGUUUAAUAUCUAUAGUAACCCUCAAGUACCAGGGUUCAAUCGUGUAUUUUAAGCAUGUUACUUUUUAUGAUUCUUUGUGUACAAAAUUUUUCAACGUCUUGUCCCAGAAUAAAAUUAAUCUAUCAGACAGCUUGUUAGCUUUAUUUAAAAAUAAUAUUUAUUUUUGUCAUCUUCUUGCAACAACUUAUUUAAAAGCAAAACAUACCUCAGAAAUUACUUGUAACUAAAAAAUCACCUACGUAGCUUUAAGGCUCUGUAAUAUUUAAUACAUCAUGAACACUCAUAAUUUCAUUCCUAUGGAAAUCCUUUCCUUACUUGAAUUCUUUGUUUUAUUUCCUCUUUAACUGCUUUCUCGGUGUUUUUCUCCAGCUCCUUUACUCUGAUUACUUGAGAUGCUUGUGUUCUUUCUUUAUCCCUCCCCUCUUGAACCUAAGUAUUUUUAUCUAAGUUCAUAACUUUAUUUUCUCCCCAAUAACUCCUGCUCAUAAAUAGAUUUGCUUGGUAUUUAUAAAAUCUAAGCUUUAGAAACCAUCAUUUACAUAGGCCCUGUCUACAGACACUGUGCCAAAUAUUGUAUUCUAAAGUUUAGAUUUUUUAAAAGGCUUCCAAAAUUGUACAAGUUUCUGGCAAUGUAAAAUUUGCAUCAGCUCCUUCUCUUGAUCGAAUAUACUUGAACUGAGUCUCAAAUGCAUACUUAUAAUUUCCGUUAGACAUUUCCACCUAGAUAUGCUUUCCAACAGGAAUUCAUACAGGUAUCCCAAACUCAGUAUGUAGAAUCUGAAUUUAUAUCUAUAGUCUAGGCUUCUUUUGUGGUAAUCCCUAUAUUAGUAAUUUUCACCAAGCUAGUCACCCAACUAAGAAAUGUGAUAAGCAUCCUUAAUCUCCCAUAUAUUUCAGCUCAAAAAACACAGGAUGAAACUCAUUUUAAGCAUGAUACACAAAAUCCUGAAUGUGACCACCAUUUGCCUCUCCUGCUAACUGCCAUAAAUGUACGAUAAACCAUUCAUAUUGUGCACAAAUCCUAUUAAACCUGUACACCUCUCUGCCUUUGAAUUUACUAUGUCUUAUGCUUAAGAUAGCCUUGCUCCAUCUUUCCUUCUAAUUUAGUCAUCGCUGAAACCUGGGCUUAUAUUUAUCAUUAGUUUCUGUGAAGUCUUUUUGAAAACUUCCUUCAACAGUUAUUUACCCAUUCUCUUGGAAUGUACAUGUUUUAUCUUUCAUGAUAACACUGUAUUUUGAAUCUCUUGGAGAGCUAUUUUUAAAUCAAAAUUUGGUUAUUUUUAUUCAAAAUUUAUUAAAAUAAAUAAUGUUCAUUCUUAGCUCUACCAAAGGACUUCAAUAUCCAUGAUGAAGACCCUAUUUCAUUUAUUUUUAUAUCCUUAUUGUCUAACACAAUGGCACAAAUAAUAGGUCGCAGUAAGUACGUUGAAUGAAUGAAUAGAUUUACUGAUUUAUUUCGGAUGAACCAUUUAUGUUCUAAUCUAGCACCAAACCCUCCACAUGUGCCCAUAACUCCAUCUAUUCUCUUCUAUUUAUUCAAGACAUCACUUGAAUAUGUGUCUCAUCUGUCUCUUGUACCUCAUAUAAUUUUUUCCUCUCUACUAGAUUAUUUUCAUUCGCAUCAAACUUGUGUAAUAUUCCCCAUCUUUAAAAAGUCCACUCUUCACGGUACUUGUCCUCCAGCUAUCCCUCUAUUUAUUUGCUCCUUUCUACAACAAAUCUCUAAGAAAGAAUUGCCCUAAACAUGGGUCUAAUUCCUUUUUUGUUAUUGUGGCUUGAAUCCUGUAUAUUCAGAUUUUGUUCUUACUUUCUACUCCACCAUUUCUGUUCAUGUCAAGGGCACCAGUGAAAUCCAUUUUGUUAAAUGUUCACUUUUUGUCCUUAUCUUCCUGGGCUUAGUGCAUUUGACACAGUUGAAGAAAUUCUCCUCCUUAAAACACUUUUUCUUUAUUUAGUUUCUUUUCCUCCCUGGCUAGUUACUCAAUCUUAGUCUCCUUUGCUUUGACUCUCUUCCCUCUUAAUUUGGAAAAAUCCAGAGCUCUCUGUUUGGAAACCUUCUAGUAUUUUGCCUGUGUGUAUGUAUACAUGUUAUCUCAAAUAGCAUCAUGCUUUAAAUAUCACUCAUCUGGCAACAUUUCAAAACUUUGUAAAUCCAUGUCAGACUUCACUUUUGAACUCCAGACAUAUAUCCAAAAGCUUAUUUGACAUGUUCUGUUUCUGUGUAAUAGACAUCCCAACUUAAAAUUAACUUUUCCAUUCAGCUGCUCUAUUGGUAAAGAGUAAGGUUACUCCUUAAGUUUCUCAGGACCCAGUACCUGAAAUUAUCCUAUGUUCUUCUCUUCUUUCAUGUUAUUUUUCCCAAAUGCCAUAUCAGAUGAUCAAUAAAUCCUAUUGAUUCUACCUUCAAAAAAUAUCCAGUGUCCAAUCACUUCUUACUACCUUUACUGCCAGCAACCUAAUCCAAGCCACCCUUGUAUCUUAUCUAGAUUGUUGUUGCAUCAUCCAAAGUUCUUGCCCUGAUUUUGCCCUUGUACCUCUAAAAUGUACCCUCAAUUCAGCAGCCAAAAUUAUCCUUUAAAAAUCAAAUGAAAUCAGAUGAAUCUGCUUGAAACUGUCCCAUGGCUUCCCCCAAUUUACUCAGAGUUCAGCCUUUCUUUCCCUACCCUGCAUUGCAAUGCCCUGGAACAUUUUUUCUGUGUCUCAAACUGCCCUCCACCUGUUCAUUUUCUGACCUUAUAUCUUACUACUUCUCACCUUUCAUUCCAUGCCAACCACUCUGCUCUGGAUGCUAAUUCUCAACCAUGCCAAGCACGUGAUUACCUCAGGACCUUUAUACUCAGUUUCCUUUGACUAGAACUUUCCCCCAGAUUUGAUGCAGGAACCAAUUUCUUCAGCUCUCUGCUCAAAUAUUACCACAUAAAUGAGACUAUUCUUGAACAUACCAUGUAACUCUCCCCUCCCCCCCAUUAUCAUUUCCUAUCCCAUCUCCCUCCUAUAGAUUUAGUUCAUAGUGCUUAUUACAAUCUUUCAUAGCAAAUAUUUCCUUCUCUAUUAUUGUGCCUUGGAUUAGAUUAGCCAAACAGAUGCAAAGAAAAAUCUUCUUCCCAAAAUACUAUUCUCAGACCCUUUUGAAAAGAUCUGAUUCUACCUGAAUUAGUUAAAUGUUUAUUGAUUUUUCCUCUGAUAUUCAUUUCUAGCCAUAAUUAUUUACGUUUAAAACAUUUUACUUUCUGCAUUUCCAGAUAUAGAAGUUAAAUUUUACCUAUUUUUUUCUAUUGUCACUGCAUUUUGCUUUGAGAAUAUGAUCACUUUAUUGUUUCUUUUACAGUAUUCAGUUAAUUAACUCCGUUAGGGUUUCUCAAAUUUGAAAAACUGAAAUUUAUAAUGCGUUAUUUAAUUACAUCUAUUGCUAUUUUAGUGUUUUAUUUAGAAUGUAUGAA
rnacentral:lncRNA from 1 species